rnacentral:rRNA from 1 species
CUACGGGAGGCUCCAGUGGGGAAUAUUGCACAAUGGGCGCAAGCCUGAUGCAGCCAUGCCGCGUAUGAAGAAGGCCUUCGGGUUGUAAAGUACUUUCAGCGGGGAGGAAGGGAGUAAAGUUAAUACCUUUGCUCAUUGACGUUACCCGCAGAAGAAGCACCGGCUAACUCCGUGCCAGCAGCCGCGGUAAUACGGAGGGUGCAAGCGUUAAUCGGAAUUACUGGGCGUAAAGCGCACGCAGGCGGUUUGUUAAGUCAGAUGUGAAAUCCCCGGGCUCAACCUGGGAACUGCAUCUGAUACUGGCAAGCUUGAGUCUCGUAGAGGGGGGUAGAAUUCCAGGUGUAGCGGUGAAAUGCGUAGAGAUCUGGAGGAAUACCGGUGGCGAAGGCGGCCCCCUGGACGAAGACUGACGCUCAGGUGCGAAAGCGUGGGGAGCAAACAGGAUUAGAUACCCGCGUAGUC